UGCGGUGACAUACGACUGACAACA
rnacentral:siRNA from 1 species